rnacentral:rRNA from 1 species
GAUGAACGCUGGCGGCGUGCCUAAUACAUGCAGGUCGAGCGAACAGACGAGGAGCUUGCUCCUCUGACGUUAGCGGCGGACGGGUGAGUAACACGUGGAUAACCUACCUAUAAGACUGGGAUAACUUCGGGAAACCGGAGCUAAUACCGGAUAAUAUAUUGAACCGCAUGGUUCAAUAGUGAAAGACGGUUUUGCUGUCACUUAUAGAUGGAUCCGCGCCGCAUUAGCUAGUUGGUAAGGUAACGGCUUACCAAGGCGACGAUGCGUAGCCGACCUGAGAGGGUGAACGGCCACACUGGAACUGAGACACGGUCCAGACUCCUACGGGAGGCAGCAGUAGGGAAUCUUCCGCAAUGGGCGAAAGCCUGACGGAGCAACGCCGCGUGAGUGAUGAAGGUCUUCGGAUCGUAAAACUCUGUUAUUAGGGAAGAACAAAUGUGUAAGUAACUAUGCACGUCUUGACGGUACCUAAUCAGAAAGCCACGGCUAACUACGUG